rnacentral:rRNA from 1 species
AUACGUAGGUCCCGAGCGUUGUCCGGAUUUAUUGGGCGUAAAGCGAGCGCAGGUGGUUUCUUAAGUCUGGUGUCAAAGGCUACUGCUCAACAGUAGUGUGCAUUGGAAACUGGGAGACUUGAGUGCAGGAGAGGAGAGUGGAAUUCCAUGUGUAGCGGUGAAAUGCGUAGAUAUAUGGAGGAACACCGGAGGCGAAAGCGGCUCUCUGGCCUGUAACUGACACUGAGGCUCGAAAGCGUGGGGAGCAAACAGGAUUAGAUACCCUGGUAGUCCACGCCGUAAACGAUGAGUGCUAGAUGUGGGGAGCUAUAAGUUCUCCGUAUCGCAGCUAACGCAAUAAGCACUCCGCCUGGGGAGUACGACCGCAAGGUUGAA